UUUUAAAUGAAUUUGGGGAACUUCACCCUCCCCACCCCCAUCUGUCUCCCAUUCAGAUUGCCACAGCAUUUGUCACCUGACGCUGCUGAUCCUUCCCAUCCCUGUUACCUUAGCAAUCAGUAGAGCAAACUCCCAUCUAGCCUUCCUAGCUAGAAAUUCGUGUACCCUUAGCCUCCUCUCUCCCUUACAGCCCCCACACUCCACUUACACUAAUACCUCCUCCAGCCUGUCCUUCUCUGCCUUAUAGCCAUUUCCCGGAGUUUCAGAGGCCCAUGUUUCCUCUCCUAGGCUGUUAGAAGGCUGCGCCUAAGCUCUCUCUCCCUCAUCUCCUGAGUCACUGAGCACAUGUCUGUUGCUUCAGACACACUAGGUUCUCACCUUUCUCGAAAUAUUUCCGGCCGUUUCAAAAGUCCCUGACUUUUUCUUCCUGGCUCUAUUUUUAUUCCGCUUAGCUGAAAAAUACAAAAAGCAAAAACCAGAAAGCCAGCCACCAGUCAGGAUUCAUCGCAAAUGCCACCACCUCCGUGAAGCCUUCCCUGACUGACACUUUGGAUUCCAACAAAUGUAUAUUUUAUGGCACACAGCAUACUGUAGUAUAACUUAUUUUUAGUUACUGCCUCCCCCCACUGGACUAAGCUGCCUGAGAACAGGGAUGACUUCUUAACUAGUCUGGGUUACUGACAUAGCUGCAUUUUAGAUGACAUGUCUAUUCUAAGAAAUGUAUUAUUUUUUACUUUUAGAAUUAACUGAAGAUAUACAUUCUGAAGGCAUGGAAGUACCUCUCAAACUACUGUGAUCAUCCUGUCCCCAAGUUUAGGAUGCGGGACGCCUCUUUCCUCCCAGAAGCGGGGACCUGCACUCACCCCUUGGGGAUUGCUUCAGUGGCUUAAAGAAAAGUUGUCCUUGUAUCCUACCCGUCUGCCUGUUCUGCAGAGCCUGCGUGGGACUUGGUGCCAUAUCCCUGGGCUUCAAAACCUCGGAAGCUGGCGGAAACUGGCUAAAACCAGAGGCAGGAUGUUUCCCCCAAACCCGGCCCCCAGCCUGGAGAGAACCUACUUUUCCCACUCAGCACCUCUAGCCUGGGAGCUUAUAAAGGGCUAACGAAGAAGCUCUAUAGGCCAACAUACCUUGGUUCUGUUUCCAGCGCCCUCACUAAAGGGCUGCUUGGUGACCUCAGGCAAAUUACUUACCUACUCUGAUCCUUAGUUGCUUCGUCUAAAAACGGAUGGAAUUGGACCAAGUGACUAUUAAUACUAAGGUCUUUUUCAGCUCUGAUGGUCAAAGAUGCUAAUGUUCUAUUUCCUGAGGAUAUAAAAAUAUAACACAAUUUUUUCCUUUAGGAAAAUUAUAUACUUAGAGGGAAGAAGACUAACAAGUAGAAAACAUACCUCAGGCUUGUUUCUCAUAUGGCAAAACAAAACCUAAUACAGAGUGUAUUUAAAAGAUGCAGUGCUUAUUAAAAGUUCUCCAAGUGCAAGGCAUUUAAAGCACUUGACUAGGAAUGGAUAUGGAGAAGGCAAUGGCACCCCACUCCAGU
rnacentral:lncRNA from 1 species